rnacentral:lncRNA from 1 species
CCAGUGUGUAUCUCUCACAUUCAUGAGCCGCACAAAACUGUAAUUAGGCGAAAGAGACAUUACAUACAGGAUUCUUCCUGGGAAGCUAAGAAGAAGAACCUCCCCCAACAUGGUUCCUUUUCCUGUGAAAGAUGCCACUGAUAUUAGGCAAGAGAACUUUCUCUGAAACUGACACCUUCCCUUUUUCUAACUUCUUCAUCUCCACCUUGUCUGCAUUUGAAUCCUAUAGUGCUGAGGAGAUAGUUCUGGGGACAUCAGUGUUUCAGCCAAUAUUCGAGAUGCAGCUUCUGCUGCUUUCUUCUGCUCUUGUUCGCGCCACUUUCUGAGCUCACCCUCCACCGUCCUCUUUGCUGCUUCAGCCCUUUACAACGCUGCUUGUGUUUCAGUCUUCAUAUCCUCAAUUUCCUUUUGAGUUUCCUCUAACCUUUUUAGAAAUUCAUUUUCACUAGCCUUUGCAACUUCAACCUGUGCUGUGGCAGCAGCCACUUUUAUGUCUGCUAAUUUAUCAGACUCCUCAACCUUUUUAACUAAGGUUUCAAACUCCUCUCGUGAGAUUGUAAUUCUUGCACCAGGUUCAGAAGUUGAUGAAUGAGAAGGACUAGUCCUCAUAGAUAAAACCUUAAUCUGAUCAAGAGCACUUGCCUCUGCUGCUUUAGCAGCUUCCACUUCUUCCAACACUCCUUUAAGCUUUGUUUCUGCAUCUUCUAACACAAGUUUAGUGACUGCAUCUUCCAUCUUCAAUUCUGCUGCCUCACUCUUCAUAUCUUCUGUUUCCCUUUUUGCAUUUUCAGUUUCAGACAACAACUGUUUUAAUGUCAAGAUCAUUUCCUCUGAUGCAACUCUAGCUUCGAGUUCAGACUUGCUUUUCCGGAGCUCUACCCUCUGAUUCUCAACAACAGAUUCAGUUUUAGAUUCUUUCUCCUUCAAUUCAGAGUGCUCUCUUUUUACAUUCUCCAGCUCCAUCCUAAGAGCUUCCACCAUGCAUCUAAGGAUGGCUGCACUUCAAGAUUUUUGGUAAGCUCUGGAUUGAAUUCCUUCUUUAAAUCAAGCAACUUCUUUUUUGAUUCUUCAAGGAUGGCUUCAUAUGAUUGUCUUAGAACUUUUUGCUUGGCUAAUGUCUCUUCUUGCAGUUGAUGUGCUUGGACAAAUUCAGCAUUCGUUUUCUCAACUGAUUCCUGUACAGCCAAAAUUUCUUUAGAUAGCUCACAUGCUCUUUUGGUGUUUGCCUUCAUUGCAUCUUCAGCUUCUGCUGCUUGCUUGAGAGCAGAAACUCUUGCUUCCGAGGAUAAAUCAUACCCCUGACGAAUUUUACUCAGUUCUUUCUUUGCAACAUCAAGUUCUGUAAUGACAGAAGCAUAAUUAUUAACGGCAGUUUCUAACUCUUCUUUCCAAGCACCAUUGGUUCCACCAGGAUCACCACAUUUUUCUUCUUUAAGCUGUUUUGCUUGAUUUUUUGAAGCUUCUGUUGCCUGAAUAGCUGAUUCUCUGGAUUCACCGAGAACUUUAAGCUUUUGUGAGAGAUCCUCAACCACUCUUUUAGCCUUUUCAAGCUCCACCAGGACUUGAGCCUUGGUAGUUUCUGCAUUCUUUAGUUGUUCCUUUAAUUUUUUCAGGUCUUUCUGGGCUAAGUGAAGUUGUCUCUCCUUUGCUCAAACAUUCUAAUGAAAUAACAAAC